rnacentral:rRNA from 1 species
UACGUAGGAGGCAAGCGUUGUCCGGAAUUACUGGGCGUAAAGCGCGUGUAGGUGGUGGGACAAGUCUGCUGUGAAAGCGCCUGGCUUAACCGGGCGAGGUCGGCGGAAACUGUCCGACUCGAGGACGGUAGAGGGGGGUGGAAUUCCCGGGUGUAGUGGUGAAAUGCGUAGAGAUCGGGAGGAACACCUGUGGCGAAGGCGGCCCCCUGGGCCGGCCCUGACACUGAGACGCGAAGGCGUGGGGAGCGAACGGG